GGUGAACGCUGGCGGCGUGCCUAAUACAUGCAAGUCGAGCGAACAGACGAGGAGCUUGCUCCUCUGACGUUAGCGGCGGACGGGUGAGUAACACGUGGGUAACCUACCUAUAAGACUGGGAUAACUUCGGGAAACCGGAGCUAAUACCGGAUAAUAUAUUGAACCGCAUGGUUCGAUAGUGAAAGACGGUUUUGCUGUCACUUAUAGAUGGAUCCGCGCCGCAUUAGCUAGUUGGUAAGGUAACGGCUUACCAAGGCAACGAUGCGUAGCCGACCUGAGAGGGUGAUCGGCCACACUGGAACUGAGACACGGUCCAGACUCCUACGGGAGGCAGCAGUAGGGAAUCUUCCGCAAUGGGCGAAAGCCUGACGGAGCAACGCCGCGUGAGUGAUGAAGGUCUUCGGAUCGUAAAACUCUGUUAUUAGGGAAGAACAAAUGUGUAAGUAACUAUGCACGUCUUGACGGUACCUAAUCAGAAAGCCACGGCUAACUACGUG
rnacentral:rRNA from 1 species